rnacentral:rRNA from 1 species
AACGUAGGAGACAAACGUUAUCCGGAGUUACUGGGCGUAAAGGGCGUGUAGGUGGUUUCGUAAGUCUGGCGUGAAAUUUUUCGGCUUAACCGGGAAAGGUCGUCGGAUACUGCGGAGCUAGAGGACGGUAGAGGCGUGUGGAAUUCCGGGUGUAGUGGUGAAAUGCGUAGAGAUCCGGAGGAACACCAGUGGCGAAGGCGACACGCUGGGCCGUACCUGACACUGAUGCGCGACAGCAGUGGGGAGCAAACGAGG